CUGCAUUCCAGGCCCCCAAAGGUAGAAGCCAACAUCCAGUUUUCAACAAAGGAACAAUUGGCCUGUUCAGUGCUCACCUGUGAGUGACCCAAGGAAUCUGAAAGAGAAAAAACUUCAAUGCAGUCUCUACCAGACAAAGUGAACAGAGUAAAACCUCUGUUGCCUCCGUGGGCAGCCACUAGAGACUCCCAGCUUCUCCAAAAAAUUGGAUUCUUGACUGCAAUUUUUAGCCAAUAUUAUAUUUGCAAUGGUCUCGGGACAUAUUGCUUCUAAAUGUCAAGUGUCU